rnacentral:snRNA from 8 species
AUCGCUUCUCGGCCUUUUGGCUCAGAUCAAGUGUAGUAUCUGUUCUUAUCAGUUUAAUAUCUGAUACGUCCCCCAUCGGGGGACUACAUAUUAAAUGGAUUUUUCGAACAGGGAGUCGGAAAUGGGGCUUGCUCCGUCCGCUCCACGCAUCGACCCGGUAUUGCAGUACCUCCGGGGAUGGUGCAACACUU